rnacentral:rRNA from 1 species
UACGUAGGGGGCGAGCGUUGUCCGGAUUUAUUGGGCGUAAAGAGCGUGUAGGCGGCCAGGUAGGUCUGCUGUGAAAACUCGAGGCUCAACCUCGAGACGUCGGCGGAAACCAUCUGGCUAGAGUCCGGAAGAGGAGAGUGGAAUUCCUGGUGUAGCGGUGAAAUGCGCAGAUAUCAGGAAGAACACCCGUGGCGAAGGCGGGUCUCUGGACAGUUCCUGACGCUGAGGCACGAAGGCCAGGGGAGCAAACGGG